rnacentral:sRNA from 1 species
GUUAUCACAAUCUCUAGCUUGAAAAAAUCCAUGGAUAAGAGUGGUGUAGGUGACUGUGUUGCCAACCAAUCCUCUUUGAGACAUCUCACGGAAGACUUCCAUACCCUCUUCUACCCUUUUAUACUUGCAAAAUCCCUUUAUAAGCGUAUUAUAAGCC